GACGAACGCUGGCGGCGUGCCUAAUACAUGCAAGUCGAACGCAGUGGGGACGGGUGAGUAACACGUGGGUAACCUCCCAUCAGAGGGGAUAACACUUGGAAACAGGUGCUAAACCGUUACUGCUGGAUGGACACGCGGUGCAUUAGCUAAUUGGUGAGGGAACGGCUCACCAAGGCCACGAUGCAUAGCCGGCCUGAGAGGGUGUUCGGCCACCCGGGGACUGAGACACGGCCCAGACUCCUACGGGAGGCAGCAGUGGGAAAUUUUCGGCAAUGGACGAAAGUCUGACCGAGCAACGCCGCGUGGGGGAAGAAGGUUUUCGGAUCGUAAAGCUCUGUUGUUAGAGAAGCGGUAUCUAACCAGAAAGCCACGGCUAACUACGUGCCAGCCGCCGCGGUAAUAC
rnacentral:rRNA from 1 species